rnacentral:rRNA from 1 species
AACGGGGAUUGCCUCAGUAACGGCGAGUGAAGCGGCAACAGCUCAAAUUUGAAAUCUGGCGCCCCCGGCGCCCGAGUUGUAAUUUGCAGAGGAUGCCUCGGUGCGAGGCCGCGCCCAAGUCCCUUGGAACAGGGCGCCUCAGAGGGUGAGAGUCCCGUUGGGCCGCGGCCGACCUCCGUGUGAGGCUCCUUCGACGAGUCGAGUUGUUUGGGAAUGCAGCUCUAAGCGGGAGGUAAAUUUCUCCUAAGGCUAAAUACCGGCCAGAGACCGAUAGCGCACAAGUAGAGUGAUCGAAAGAUGAAAAGCACUUUGGAAAGAGAGUUAAAAAGCACGUGAAAUUGUUGAAAGGGAAGCGCUUGCGGCCAGACUUGCCGCGGCGGUUCGGCCGGGUGCUCCACCCGGCUUACUCCGCCGCGUCGGGCCAGCAUCAGCUUGGGCGGUCGGACAAAGGCCUGGGGAACGUAGCUCCCUCCGGGGAGUGUUAUAGCCCCUCGCGCAAUGCGGCCUGCCCGGGCUGAGGCUCGCGUUCUGCUAGGAUGCUGGCGUAAUGGCCGCAAGCGGCCCGUCUUGAAACACGGACCAAGGAGUCUACCAUCUGUGCGAGUGUUUGGGUGUCAAACCCGUGCGCGUAAUGAAAGUGAACGGAGGCGGGAGCCCCCGGGCGCACCGUCGACCGAUCCUGAUGUCUUCGGAUGGAUUUGAGUAAGAGCACAGCUGGUGGGACCCGAAAGAUGGUGAACUAUGCGUAAACAGGGCGAAGCCAGAGGAAACUCUGGUGGAGGCUCGCAGCGGUUCUGACGUGCAAAUCGAUCGUCAAAUUCGCGCAUAGGGGCGAAAGACUAAUCGAA